GGAAGGAUGAGAAGCUUCGACUAAGGUUCGAUUCGAGCGAAAGCGAGAAAGCGUUGCCGCAGGCAACGACCCGAAGGGCGAAGCGCGCAGCGCUGAGUAAUCCUUCCCCCACCACCA
rnacentral:sRNA from 1 species